AAUCCCAGAACCAUUGAGAAACCAUGCUCUGAGAUGCAGAACUACUCAGCUGGGAUAAAGAACACAACCCACAUUCUGAGAUAGGUGAUGAGGAAUGGCUGGAAGCUUGAAUGGCAGUUAGAGAGGUGAAGCAAGUAUGAGUACCACACCUGUCUUGGAGAGCUGUAGGUCCAGCUCCUGGACCAGAGCCAGGACCAUGUGGAAGGAUAACACUACUUUUGUAGAAGAGACCCUUGAGCAGCCAGUUGUCAAGGUACAGAAAGAUGAGGUCACUUCCUGCUGAAGAAUUGAGGGCCAAGCAGAAGUUGCACUUCUGGGAGAUGUGGGACUCCUCCAAGCAAUGGACAUGCUUAGAGUGGCUGUUGCUUACAGGAAUAACCUCUUGGCAGGAGAGGCAGCAUUUGAAGCCAG